CGCUUCCCACUUCCGCCCCCUCUGCCUGCCAUUGGAACUAGCAAAGCCGAACAAGUUGCGGCCGCGGAAAGCCGGCGCUCUUCUCCUUCUCUUCUCCUUCUCUUCCUCCCGCCUUUCUUCUUCCCAGGCCGUCGCCGCUGUCGCCCCGAGGUUUCGCGAUCGCCUAGUCCGCAGCCCACGCCGCGGCCGACAUGAGCUUCUUGUUUGGUAGUCGCUCCUCUAAAACUUUUAAACCAAAGAAGAACAUUCCAGAGGGUUCUCACCAGUAUGAGCUCUUAAAACAUGCAGAAGCCACACUUGGCAGUGGUAACCUCCGGAUGGCUGUCAUGCUUCCUGAGGGGGAAGAUCUAAAUGAGUGGGUUGCAGUGAACACUGUGGAUUUUUUCAAUCAGAUCAACAUGCUUUAUGGAACCAUCACGGACUUCUGUACAGAGGAGAGUUGUCCGGUGAUGUCUGCUGGCCCAAAAUAUGAGUAUCACUGGGCAGAUGGAACAAACAUAAAGAAGCCUAUUAAGUGCUCUGCACCGAAGUAUAUUGAUUACCUGAUGACUUGGGUUCAAGAUCAGUUGGAUGAUGAGACGUUAUUUCCAUCAAAAAUUGGUGUUCCAUUCCCAAAGAACUUCAUGUCUGUGGCAAAAACUAUACUCAAACGCCUUUUUAGAGUAUAUGCUCACAUUUAUCAUCAACAUUUUGACCCUGUGAUCCAACUUCAGGAGGAAGCACAUCUCAAUACAUCCUUCAAGCACUUUAUUUUUUUUGUCCAGGAAUUCAACCUUAUCGAUAGAAGAGAACUUGCACCACUCCAAGAACUGAUUGAAAAACUCACCUCAAAGGAUAGAUAAAAGGAUGCAGAGCUAUGCAAAUUGUUCCUCAAAUGAAACUGUGUGGAGUGUAUUUGAAUUUUUGUUGUAUUUUGUUGUGUUUGUCUGAGUUGUUUUUGUCUUAGUUUUGAGAGGCUUGUUUGGAUUCCCUUUUCUUUAUUCUGAAUAAAUGAAACCAUAGAUUUUUUGCUAGACACAGCCAAGAACCAUUUCCUAUACAUUCAGUAGGAGUAAAUUUUGUCUUAGUGUCAUGCAUUUUUUUUCACUUAGUUUUGGUUAUUCGAGGCAUUCUUGAUAAUAUUGUGUUUUGAGAGAAAAUGCUUAUUGAUUGAACUGCUGAUAGAUGGGGUUCUGUGUUGUGUAAAUUGUAGCCCAUUUAUGAAGUCCCCAAAAGACUUAUGUUUUUAAGUGCCUUGGCAGGCUCACUUCUGAGGUGCAAAGCACAGAUAUAGAACUGUACAGGACUCAAUAUUAGAACUACUACCCAGGGCACUUACUGAUGCAUAUUUAAAAAUAUCUGUGAUAAAAGCCAUAGUUUACCUAAAUUGGUGAUCUCCAGCUUUUACUACAUUGAAGAAACAUAAUUUGUAAAGGUGUGCAUGCAGAACAUAAAAAAAUUAGUAUUUCUUAAUUAUUUUUUAUAGUGAUGGUAAUACAUUCUGUUCAGCAAAUGCUUCAAGUUUCUACAAGCGGAUCUUUUUCCGUUCCUUGGUAUCUGUGAUAUUGAAAUUUGAGGAUGUUAGAAUGUAAUACCUUUUGCAUUUUGGCUCCUUUCUACAUGUUAACUGCACUGUAGGUAUAAAAAUUCAAGUUAUAUUUAGGAUUGCCAUCUUUGGAGGUGAUGCCGAACUGUGAGGUUUCUUAGCAAUUGCCAAAUGAGCCAUAAGUCUGCAGAAUCCCCUUUUAAUUUGAAGAGGAGGGAUAGGUGUGUGUUUCUUUGGAGGGUUAGUUUGUAUUGGGUGGGGGUGGGGUGAUGGUUAGCGUGGGAUUAAGUAUAAGGAGACAGGUUCAAGAAGGUCCUGUCUUAAACCCUUGAUUAGAAUGGCAUGAAGGUUUAAUCUAUUACUUAAAAACAAAGUAUUGGAGACAACCUUAGGAAUCAACUUCCAUGAGAAGUUAAAAAUAAAUUAAUUUUUAGGUACAGACAUUAAAAAUGGAAUUUAGGGAAUUUAAUCACUUUUCAGCAUUUCCAUUCAGUGAAUGGAGCUGGUGUUUGCCUGUCAUUUAAAAAUGAUACAGUGCAUCAUUUGCUUUUAUAUUAUAGGCCCAAUUUGAAGCAUUCUGACUUCCGAUUGUUCCAUUGUGAAAGAAAUCUUUUUCUUCACAGUGAUAUUAAACCAUGAAAAUGCUAAUUUAGUAAACUUCUAAGCUUUAUUUGUCAUGACUUUCUAAUAAAUUAUUCCUGUAAAUAAGUCCAGAAACUUAGUUUUAAAAAUAAUUAGUAACACUUUUCAGUUGUUUUUCUUGAGACUUCCAGUUUAAUUUUGUCGUAUCUGACAAACCUACUUCCUUCCAUUAGAAAUAUAUCUUCUUUGUAGAAUAAAAAUGCUUGCUCUGAAGUUGUAUAAACUAAGAACACUUAGUAGAAAAGAAUCUAAAAUGAAAUCAGUUUGUUUUUGCCAUCACUAGGUAGAGAAGUUAUAUGAUUUAAUGCCAUUACAAUUAUGAUCACUAGGAACUGCCUUUUUCUCAUUUUCAUUUCUAGCCAUCAUUCACCAGUACUAACAGUAAAAAGUAACAGGAGAACCCUGGCAGAGGCAGAUAUAUUGGGCAUUGAUUAGUAAAGAUUAUUUAUAAACUGCAGUUAGAACUAGCUGAUUUCCUUAAAACAGAUCUCUUAGUACCUAUACAGAUAAUAUCAACAACUAUGGGUUGAUUCAGAAACAAAAUUUGGUGUCAAGUGAUUUUGAGUCUUGUCUAUAUGGGAAAAUGAAGCACACAAUUAUUCACAUUUCUUCCAUAAUGUAUCUGACUUCAUAUCAACCUAAUAAAGGAGUUGCAAUAGCCAAGUAGAGUACAGUUAAAACUUGUUCUUGCUCUAGUAAGGCUUAUACAUUAGUACACUGUAAAAAUGGGAAAAUGUUUCUAUAUAUUAACAUUUAGAAGUUGGACUUGUCUUCCCAGUAUAUGUAGAUGGGAGGUGUUUUCACUGUGCCAGAAUCCCAGGUGCCUGUCUCUGAGUAUUCCUUUUAUCAGAGUUAUUAUGAGUUAAGGAAAUAAAUACAUGUGUAUGUAUGGUAACAAAAUAUAGACGUUCUCACCAGACAGAGGCAUGACAUCAUGCUUGUUACAUGCUACAAGUAGGCAGACACUCUUCCAGAACAUAUGAGAAAUAACUGAUUUAAUAAAAAAUUGCUUUGAUUUGUCUGGUUCCUAUGAGAGUUACUAAGAUGCCCUUUAUAAAAUAAGGAUCAAAGCUUGGGUUUACAGCAUAGCUUGAUUAUGUUUAUUGGAUUCUCUUCACAUCUUUUAAUUUAAUUUAUAAAUAAGCCAGAUAAUUAUUUUCCCCCUUGCUCUUUAUACAGGGAUAUAAAGCAGAAGUUAGUUUUCUCAUGUUCUGAUAAAAACACUCCAUAAAAUAUAAAGUAGUAAGUUAACACAGUAUUAAUGUUGCAUAUAAUGCUUUGAUUAAAUGUUGAUAUGAAGCAAAUUUUGGGAAUUAUUUUAAGUGACAGAGUGGUGGUGGUGGAGGGAAAUUAACAGGAAAAGUGAAAAUCGUUUAGUUAUCAGCAGAUGGUGCUACUGGUUUUCAUUUACUAACUUUAUUAUUCUGUUUCCCAUAGAAACCAUGGCAUUAGACUGCACUAAAACACUAAACGUGUGUUAGCUAGUGAAGGCUUUGGAGGUCAAUUUAGCUUAAACUGAAAUAUUUUAGAUUGCUAUCUCUUACUACCUUACCUCUGUCAUUUGUAAAUUCUAAGUGGUCAGCAUAAAAUGUAUCAGGUAAGAGAAUAUGUGUUAAGUGCAUAAUAUAUCGCAGGCUGAGUUACUGCCUGGUUUAUUAGAAAAGAUAAAGCACUAUAAUCUCUUACAUUCAGGAAAUAGUGCUGAUGUGGAUAUUUAUAUUUUACAUUUAAUCCCCCCAGACUCCUUUUUAUCUAUUAGUAUUUUCCUUGCUUAUGGGAAAUAGAAAAAUGAGAGAUUUUGUUUAUACUUUUUCUACUCCCUCUCUGAGAGAGGUUUUGAUAACCACUGAAAUGACAGAAUAUGUGAGAUGCAAUUAUUAAGUUGUAGGACUUAUAAAAUAUGUCAUACCUUAAAACAUCUAAAUGAAAGUUGAUCUUUAGUGUGGUUCCCUUGGGUGCACUUUUAUUCUAACUAUGCUGUGAAAGUAUAAUGUUUUUAGAACUCUUUUAGAGUUGCCUUGAGAAUCAGUUUAUGACUAUGCAAAAAAAAUCAGUUUCAUCAUUUUAGUUGCACCAAAAACUUUUAUGCCUCCUAAUAUAACCUUGUCUUAUUCACCAAUCUAGCUCUUGACUGUUUUCUGAAAACUAAACAAUUAGAACAGUUUAAAACAAUGUGCCAAAUGCUCUGAAUUUGCAGAAGAGAAUGUUUUGAGCAUGAGUAGCAUCAUUUGAAUAAAGGAGUGGUUUCCUGAUUUCACUACUCUGAAGGGAACAGUAUCAUUUGAAUGGACAGGUUUUACUUUUUUAAAAUUCAGUUUUAUUACCUUACAGUUAAAUAGUUAAAUAUAAUAAUUUUUUAAAAAUCAAGAUGUUUCUCCAGAAUUUGUUUUCUGUUUUUUGUUCUUUGCCUAAAAACUUUUGAAUUCUAUCUGGACUAUGAUAGGGCAGUUUUGAUUUAGGAAAUAGUAUGGAAAAUUGGAUAGAAUAUUUCAUAUAGAAGUAGCUAAAGGAAACAACAACCCAAGCAGCCUUUAACUCCCUCACCUUAGAAAAAAAUGUUUUCAUUCAAAUGAAUGAUUAGACUUUAAUAAAAGACUGAAGAUCAUUAGACAAAGAAAUUGGAAUAAGUUUUACCUAUUAAUUGUGCUGAGCUUUAAGCCUGCAUAUCACAGGUGAAAUAUUUAUAAUUUGAAUAUAUGACUGCUUGAAAAGAGGGAAACAUCUUUUUUUUUUUUGAAGCUUAACUGAGAUGUUAAGAAUAUACCAACUCUUAGAAACACCAUUUUAGAUCUGUACUUUAAGGACCAUUCCUAAAAUAAUUUAAAUAUCAGAGUUUCAUCAUAAUGUUAAGAUUCACAGUAGGACUUGCUGUUGAUCAGUUUCUCAGUUAGAAAUGAGAGGGUAAAUGUUCAGAGGUAAAGCUACCUCAAGAGUUAAUGGAAAAGUUUAAGAUGUAACAAAAAGUUAUCUGCAGAUGAUUUUAAUUUUUAAGACUUUCCUAAUAAGCUAAUCAUAGAGAAGUGUUUGUUUUGAAGGUGUAAAACUGUGUUCCUGCUUUCUGUUAACUGGUAGCUGAACUGUACUUAACAAGUUUGGUGAAAGAGAUAAAAAAUAGAUCAAAAUAUUGAGUACUCUCAGUUUUGCAAGUGUGAUGCAAGUUGUUGUUUUUUCCCUGCGUAUAGUACUAUCCAGUAAAAAACUUUGGACAACAAUUCUCAAAGAUAGUAAAAUCACUGGCCUGGCCUUUUUCAGCUGUACAUUUACCUGUCUUCUCCUUCCUGGAAGUAAAUUGCUUCCUUGCUGCUAUUGACUUCCCAUAUCUCCCCAUUCCUUUCCUCUACCCCUCUGCCUUUCAGAACAAAAGAGUUAGGUUGAUUGUGCCAGUCUUCAUUGUUAGUGAUUCCAAAGUACUCUCAAUACACAGGUUUUAGGCAAAAUGUUGGAAGAUGCAACUAAUAAAAGCAUUUUGUUUUGAUUAA